ACAGGCUCAGGCAAUCCACUCGCCCUGGCCUCCGAAAGUGCUGGGAUGACAGGCUGAGCCACCAAGCCCGGCCGGUUGACCUUUUAACAGAGGCAAAGAAUGGAGUCCUCUGGGGGCAGCUGCAAAACAUUCUCCCUGGGACAGAUGGAGCCUCCCCUUCCUCAGCUACUCUGUGGGUGGUUUUAAAGCCCAUGAGUCAACGCGGGCUGGCUGAGGAGUUUUGCGGAUGGUGUGUGUUUUGGAGGCUUGGCUAGCUGAUUCACAGUGAUGAGUAUAUCGGUAAUCACAACGAUGAGAAGGAUGGUACCUAAUAAAGAUUUUUUUUUCUUUCAA